rnacentral:rRNA from 1 species
UACGUAGGAGACGAGCGUUGUCCGGAAUACUGGGCGUAAAGCGCGUGUAGGCGGAUGGGCAAGUCUGCUGUGAAAGCUCCUGGCUUAACCGGGAGUGGUCGGUGGAAACUGCCAAUCUGGAGGACGGUAGAGGUAGGUAGAAUUCCCGGUGUAGUGGUGAAAUGCGUAGAGAUCGGGAGGAAUACCUGUGGCGAAGGCGGCCUACUGGGCCGGACCUGACGCUGAGACGCGAAGGCGUGGGGAGCGAACGGG